ACUCAUUCUGACAGAAGCAGAGAUAAAACAGACUAAGUACACAGAGGAGUUUAAGGUUUCGUGAAUGUAAGUGCUGAGUACAGAAUGGUGCUCAAUAAAAGCUUGUUAAUUGAUGGACCACAGGUUUGUGACAAGACUUCUCAGAGUCUGAUUCUUUCAAGGUGGGAUAUAAGAGUAAGUAAAUGGCAUGGGGAAAAUCUGAUUGCCACAGACAGAAGAAUGAAACUGGAUGCCUAUUUCUCACAAUACACAAAAGCGAUUCAAGAUUAAAGACUUAACUAUACCUUGACUAUGAAUAAUAGUUUCAAUAAGGAAGACAGAAUGAGUUCUGACACGAUGGUUGGGAGCUGUGACAGGCAGACGAAAAAUGGAGCCAAAUGGCAUGGAGGUGUGUCAUCACUGCUGGAUUUUACCUUGAUCUACAUUCAGUUAUCUACUUCUUUUCAAAAUGCUGGGCAUUCAUUCAAGAAACAGCAUAUAUGUUCUGACUUUGAAGUAAUGGAUGAACUGUCAUGUGCAGUAUAUGGAAAUAAGUUUUAUUACCUUCUUCCCACAUUAACUCAUCCAUCCAUUCAAUAGCCAUUUAUUGAGAAGCUCACUCUGUGUUAGGCACAGUGGUGUCAUGAUGUUGGAACAGUAACAAUAACUCAACCAACCAGGGCUUGUCUGAAUACAAUCCUACAGCAGCAGGAGCUGUGGAGAUAUAGAAGGCAAGGAAGACCAGGUUGUGAGGGAAGACGAAUUUACUCCCAGGAAUGUUGGGAUUGAGAGUAAUAUUCUCCAAUAAUGGUGGAAGACAGAACAAUAAAAGCCCACCAGCUCCUUCUGCAUGGUGGGAUAAGAGAAAAGCCAAGGGCAGAAGUGAGAAAAAUAACCAUCACCAAACUGAAAAGAAAACCUUUAUAAAAAAACUGGAUUGAUAAAUGACCUUUAGUAGUGGAAAGAUACCAUUCCAAUGAAGCAUGAAUUGAAAGGAUUUCUUCUGAAAGCUAAUUUACAUUUUUCUUUUUUUUUUUUUCAUUUUCAGUGUGUUUUAGCAGGUGUAUUGUUCUACAUGGUUAGUUUCUUUACCUCUUUGAGAAAAAUGGGUCAGCUUGACACAUCUGGAUGAAAGAAUCCGUUAGGUGAUUAUGAUUGAAGACAGAUUAAGCCUUGUUAUGAGGGGAAUAUUUGGGGGCUUACCCUGAGGUGAUAUUUGAUGAUUUAGCUGUGGGAGAAUUUCCCUCCCAAGAUCAGCGUGACUGACACUGAAAUUGCUACAGGGGAACCGGACCUUUCCAAGAGGUGACAAGGACAUUUACCUGGUACAACACAAUGGUUCUGGACUGGAAGUCUAGUCCCAUUGAUGAAGUUCCCAAAAGAUGUCCAGGUCCUAAUCCCUGGAAUCUGUGAAUAUGUCAUCUUACACAUCAAAAGAACUUUGAAAAUGUGAUUGAGGUUAAGGACCUUGGAAUGAGGAGAUUACCUUGGAUUAUCUGGUUGGGUCCAAGCUAAUCACAUGAGUCCUUAAAGGAGAAGAACCUUUUUUAGCUGGGUCAGAGAGAGAUGUGAUGAUGAAAACAGGCUCAGGGAGAUGCACUGUAAGAAGGGCUUGACCAGUUGUUUUUGACUUUGAAGAUGGAGGGAAGGGCCAGGAGCCAAGGAAGGUGGGUGGCUUUUGGAAGGUGGAAAAAGCAAGGGAACAUUCUCUCCAGAGCCUCCAGAAAGGAGCUCAGCCCUGUUGACAUCUUUGUUUUUAUUUUUUAUUUUUAGUAGCAUUGAGGUCUCACUAUGUUGCACAGGCUGGUCUUGAACUCUUGAGCUCAAGCACUCCUCCCGCCUUGGCUUCCCAAAGUGCUGGGAUUAUAGGCAUGUGCCACCACAUCUGGCUUCCUACUGACAUCUUAACUUUAGUGCAGUGAGACUCAUAUUUGAAUUUCUGACCUUAUAUUAUAGAACCAUAAGACAUUAUAGAAUUAUAUAGAAUUAUAGAACCAUAAGACAAUAACUUUGUGUUGUUUUAAGAUACUAAAUUUUUGGUAAUUUGUUAUGGCAGCACAAUAAAACCAAUAUAGCAUUAUAUUAUGC
rnacentral:lncRNA from 1 species